UGCUUGCACUUUGGCAGACUGAGUGGCGGACGGGUGAGUAACGCGUGGGUAACCUGCCUUAUACAGGGAGAUAACAGUUGGAAACGACUGCUAAUACCGCAUAAGCGCACGGUAUCGCAUGAUACAGUGUGAAAAACUCCGGUGGUAUAAGAUGGACCCGCGUCUGAUUAGCUUGUUGGUGAGGUAACGGCCCACCAAGGCGACGAUCAGUAGCCGGUCUGAGGGGAUGAACGGCCACACUGGAACUGAGACACGGUCCAGACUCC
rnacentral:rRNA from 1 species